rnacentral:rRNA from 1 species
GCACUCCCGGGGCGUCUCUAUCUCAUCGCGAGAGGAGGCGCACCUAGAGCGUACACGCUGAUACCCGAAAGAUGGUGAACUAUGCCUGGCCAGGACGAAGCCAGGGGAAACCCUGGUGGAGGUCCGCAGCGAUUCUGACGUGCAAAUCGAUCGUCGGAGCUGGGUUUAGGGGCGAAAGACCAAUCGAACCAUCUAGUAGCUGGUUCCCUCUGAAGUUUCCCUCAGGAUAGCUUGCGCUCGGAUGAAACGAGUCUCAUCCGGUAGAGCGAAUGAUUAGAGGCCUUGGGGUCGAAACGACCUCAACCUAUUCUCAAACUCCAAAUAGAUGAGAACCCCGGCUUUCUUGAACUCUGUUUAUGAAGCCGGGGGCUCGGAUCAGAGUGCCAAGUGGGCCAAUUUUGGUAAGCAGAACUGGCGCUGUGGGAUGAACCAAACGCGGAGUUAAGGCGCCUCAAUCGACGCUCAUGUGAAACCAUGAAAGGCGUUGGUUGCUUAAAGACAGCAG